rnacentral:rRNA from 1 species
AGAGUUUGAUCCUGGCUCAGGACGAACGCUGGCGGCGUGCUUAACACAUGCAAGUCGAGCGGUAAGGCCCUUCGGGGUACACGAGCGGCGAACGGGUGAGUAACACGUGAGCAACCUGCCCCUGACUCCGGGAUAAGCGGUGGAAACGCCGUCUAAUACCGGAUACGACCCUCCUCCGCAUGGUGGGGGGUGGAAAGUUUUUUCGGUCGGGGAUGGGCUCGCGGCCUAUCAGCUUGUUGGUGGGGUAACGGCCUACCAAGGCGAUUACGGGUAGCCGGCCUGAGAGGGCGACCGGCCACACUGGGACUGAGACACGGCCCAGACUCCUGCGGGAGGCAGCAGUGGGGAAUAUUGCGCAAUGGGCGAAAGCCUGACGCAGCGACGCCGCGUGGGGGAUGACGGCCUUCGGGUUGUAAACCUCUUUUACCACUCACGCAGGCCCCACGUUUUCGUGGGGUUGACGGUAGGUGGGGAAUAAGGACCGGCUAACUACGUGCCAGCAGCCGCGGUAAUACGUAGGGUCCGAGCGUUGUCCGGAAUUAUUGGGCGUAAAGAGCUCGUAGGCGGCGUGUCGCGUCUGCUGUGAAAGACCGGGGCUUAACCCCGGUUCUGCAGUGGAUACGGGCAUGCUAGAGGUAGGUAGGGGAGACUGGAAUUCCUGGUGUAGCGGUGAAAUGCGCAGAUAUCAGGAGGAACACCGGUGGCGAAGGCGGGUCUCUGGGCCUUACCUGACGCUGAGGAGCGAAAGCAUGGGGAGCGAACAGGAUUAGAUACCCUGGUAGUCCAUGCCGUAAACGUUGGGCGCUAGGUGUGGGGACUUUCCACGGUUUCCGCGCCGUAGCUAACGCAUUAAGCGCCCCGCCUGGGGAGUACGGCCGCAAGGCUAAAACUCAAAGGAAUUGACGG